GCACAUGUGUAUGGACCAAUCAAUUUUCUUAUGCUCACGCAUUAUGCGUUAUGCAGCGGGGUCAAUCAUGAAUCUUUUCCCCUAGGGUGGAAACGUGAAAAAUGAAAAAUCUCUCUUUCUAUUGAUGUUAAAUAGAAAGAGAUAGUCAUAUAAAACUUUUCACUUUCCACGUUCCACAUUAAUACAUGAUUAAGUGUGUGCUCCCCGCUUAACCAUCGAUAUGUAAUCUUCCAUGAACUGCACAUGCGCGCAUAGACAAAGACAGCAGGGGCCCAUAUGCAGCGCUCUCUUUCUAUUCCUCUAUCGCUUUUUUAGCUUGUUUGCAUACUCUAUUCAUGCUCUAUUCUUAUAUCUCUAUGGUUCGUAGUCGCUAUAUCUUGUCAAUAUGACAGGUCUCAUAAUAAGAUAGUCGUCAAACUCGUCAACUUUAACUGUUAAUAUCUCGCUUUGCGGGGCAGAGCGACGCUUUUUUCUGCCAGAUUUUUUCGUUUCACGCAAAAACGCGUUGAUUAAGCCUAAGUUCAACGAAAUCGAUAUUUGAAGGCUGGCGGAUAAUGGAUUUUUUCGUGAUUGAGCGCAUACACGAUUCUCUAUAUUUAGAUACUAACUUUUUGAACUCUGUUAUAUUGAGAUUUUACUUUGGAGUAUGGCAAACUUUUUGGUAAUGAAGUUUUUAACAAGCAGGGUACACAUACUUUUUGUAGAACGUAACAGUAAGGUUUCGACCAAUUGUGUUGUUCCAUUUUUACUUCUACGGUUACAGAUGACCGAAUCAAGCAAUGCAAUUCCUUAUUGUUAUUUUCUACAAAGUGUGUGUCCUGUUUUAAGGUUU